UUGUUGUUGUUUUGUUUUGAGACAAGGAAUUAUAUAUCCCAGGCUGGUCUCAAGUUUGUUGCAUAGCUAAGAAGAACCUUGACUUUCUGAUCUGCAAACCUCCACUUCUUGUGUGCUGGGGUUGCAGGAUCUCACCCUGUAGCCCGGCCUGCUUAGGAAUCUGAGAUGUUUACUCUGCCCCAGUCUCUCAAGUGCAGAAGGCAACCCCUGUGACCUCUUUUCACAAUUUAACCCCAUUGUUAUAACUGUAGGAGAGGGUCAGGAGUCUCCAGGACAUGACGGACAGAAGCCCCAUACAUACACUAGAAGCCUACAGAAGAGUCUUCCUUUCUUCAACUGUAAAAUGAGAUGGGUGAUCCCACUGACCUGAGAGGUUGCUGGGAAGAGAUUCCAUGAGAAAAACACAAGAUGUAUACAAUUUACCAGAGGGAUGGAUGUGGUGGUGUGGGUCAAGAGUCCCAGCUACU